rnacentral:sRNA from 1 species
GCCAGGCAUGGUGGCACAUGCCUGUAAUCUUAGUGGCUUGGGAGGCUGAGGCAGGAGGAUCAAAAGUUCAAAGCCAGCCUCAGCAAAAGUGAGGUGCUAAGCAACUCAGUGAGACCCUAUCUCUA